UGUGAAACGUAUUCCAUUUCCACUGCGCUAUAUAUAAAUCACUAUACACAAACCAAACUCAACCAACCCUGCCUUCCACUUCCAAACUCUCUAUUCUAAUUCUAUUCUGAUCCCCUUCUGCUUCUUAAUUAUUCACUGUUGUGUUUUCAUGGAUACCACUAAAUGGUUCCUUCUACUCGCUUGUUGCUGUGUUUUUGUGAUACAUAACAUCAAUGGAGUCGAAGCUUCACACAAGGUAUACCCAGAGUUUCAAUCUCUUCGUGCUGUGAAGAUCAAGCAAGUCCACAGAACUGGUUUUCACUUUCAACCUCCCAGCCACUGGAUUAAUGGUACUCAAUUCUGUUUGAUUUCGUUACUGUCAUUAAACCAUGAUAUUGAUUUGUUUGCAUAUUUAAAUCAUGAAGUUUUUCUCAAUUCUCAGUUUGGUCCAUGCAUUCCGUUUUUCUUUGUAAUUUUAUUCAUGUUUUGGAUAAGAAAACCUAUUCAAAGUGUUUGAACUCUUUUCAUGUACAUGUUCAGAAUUUUUAAAUAUGAAAAGAAAAACCAUCAGCAUUAUGUCUUCGUCCAAAAACAAAAAAUCAGCAUUAUGUCGUAAACUUUUAAUAUCCAAAAAGUAUUGUGAAAUCAAAGUGAACCUUUCUAUUGUGCAUGUACAAUCAACCGUUCACCGGAAGAACUUUGCUAUAAAAACUCUUUGGUAUUCAAUAUGCAAUACUCCUGGAUUUUCUAUAGUCGGAUCAGGCGAAAAGAGAAUGUUAAAAAUUCCGAAAGUAUGUCAAACUCCAGACUACUGUAGAAACAGUAUAUCUUCAGUGCUGAUGAGUUUUGAAUUGUAUUGUUGUUCCAUAUUUUAAAAUUUUACCUAACUUUGGAGCAUGUAAAUUAAGAGCAUGGUAGAAGAUCUUUACUUACUGCUUUACAAACUUGCAAAUGAAGAACAAUGUGGUUAGGUGGAUGAUGUUGAUGAUAUAUAUAGCACCCCAUGAACCCCUAUUCCAUCAUCGGUGGAGCCGUGGAGACAAUUGGUUGUUCAACAGCAUGGAGUCAUUUAUUUUUACCAAUUUAAUUUCAACUUAGGUAAAUGGAUGCAUGUCGGUCAUUUAAUUAAUACGGUGUCGUGGAAUUCAUAGCUGGAAAAGUGCUGAUAUUGGUCAGUUCAUCAGAGCACAGGCUUAAUGUGGUUUUUUAAAAGUUCUGGUGUGUGUUCGAUCAACAGGUUUCUCCUGAUGAGAUCUGCCUCCUCAUUAUGUUCUGAAAACCAACAGUCAAAUCAUCAUAGCAUCAUAAAUAAAAAUACAGAAAUACAAAACAUUCAUAAACCAUAUAUUUCAUAUAUCUUAAUGUGAAAUAGAUGCAUGCUUUUACUUUUUAACAAUUACUGACUUCUUAUUGUUUUACUUUGUCCCUUCCAUGGCUGUUCAUAAACAAAUGAACCACAGACCCAAAUGGACCUAUGUAUUUUGGGGGUCUCUACCACUUUUUCUAUCAGUACAAUCCCAAAGGAGCUGUUUGGGGCAACAUUGUAUGGGCCCAUUCAGUCUCUAAGGAUCUGAUCAAUUGGCAAGCCCUUGAACCCGCCAUAUACCCAUCCAAGCCCUUUGACAUAAACGGGUGCUGGUCCGGAUCCGCCACCCUUCUCCCGGGCAACAAGCCUAUCAUCCUCUACACCGGACUUGACCCGGAAAAGCGCCAGGUCCAAAACUACGCCGUGCCCGCAAAUGUGUCCGACCCAUAUCUACGCAAAUGGGUUAAGCCCGACAACAACCCGCUAGUGGUUCCGGAUGCAAGUAUGAAUGCAUCCCAGUUCCGUGACCCGACAACCGCUUGGUGGAGCAAUGGGCACUGGAAGAUGUUGGUGGGUGGCAAGAGAAAGCAUAGAGGGAUGGCUCAUUUGUAUAGGAGCAAGGAUUUUGUUUAUUGGGUCAAGGCCCAGCACCCGCUUCACUCUGCCCCGAAAACCGGUAUGUGGGAAUGCCCGGAUUUUUACCCGGUUUCAUUGAAAGGCAAGGUAGGGUUGGACACGUCAAACAAUGGGGAUGUGAAGCAUGUUUUGAAAGUGAGCCUUGAUGAGACUAGGUAUGACUACUACACUGUUGGAAAAUACUUUCCUAAACAAGAUAGGUAUGUUCCUGAUAAGGAAUUGGUGGAUGGUUGGGCUGGAUUGAGAUAUGAUUAUGGGAACUUCUAUGCUUCCAAAACUUUCUUUGAUCCUGCUAAGAAUAGAAGAAUUUUGUGGGGCUGGGCUAAUGAGUCUGAUACUCCUAACAAUGAUGUUGAAAAGGGAUGGGCUGGAGUUCAGGCAAUCCCAAGGACUGUGUGGCUGAGUACUGAUGGGAAACAAUUGUUACAAUGGCCUGUUGAAGAAUUGGAAACUUUAAGGGGACAAAAGGUCCAGAUGAAGAAUCAAAAUCUCAAAGUGGGAGAUCAUGUUGAAGUUAAAGGAAUACAUGCUGCUCAGGCCGAUGUUGAAGUUAUAUUCUCUUUCAAGAGCUUGGACAAAGCAGAGAAGUUUGACCCUAUAUGGUCAAACCUUGAUGCCCAAGCAAUAUGUGGGCUAACGGGUUCAAAAAUUGGAGGUGGCAUUGGCCCAUUUGGGCUAUUGACUUUAGCUUCACAAAACCUAGAGGAAUUCACUCCUGUCUUCUUUAGGGUGUUCAAAACUCAAGGCAAUAAGCAUAAGGUUCUCCUGUGCUCUGAUGCAAGAAGUUCCUCUUUGCAGGAUAAUCUGUACAAACCAUCAUUUGCUGGUUUUGUAGAUGUAGAUUUAUCUGAUAAGAAGCUCUCCCUCAGGAGUUUGAUUGAUCAUUCUGUUGUUGAGAGUUUUGGAGCUGGAGGAAAAACAUGCAUAACUUCUAGGGUUUACCCCUCUCUAGCUGUUGACAAUAAAGCUCACUUGUAUGUGUUCAACAAUGGGACUGAGGCUGUCACUAUUGAGAGUCUCGAUGCGUGGACUAUGAAUGCUCCUAAGUUGAUGAACCAAUAGUCCCAGGUCUAGCUACUUAGAGCUAUCAGAAAAAACGGUUCAGAUUUCAGAAUGUAAAUGCUAAUUUCUAAGUAAUUAGCUAGCCUGAGCUAAAUGUCUAAGUAUGUAAUAAGGAUCUAUGAUUCAUAUGACCCUGAUCUUAGGUUGCAGUUUUAAUUCGUUGUUGUGCCCAUCAGUUCUUCGACGAAAUUCUGUUUUUUUUUGGUUGAGAAGUUGACGAAACCCUGUUUAAUUUAGUAGUAAA